ACAAGAUUGAGAAGGUUUGUCAACUUUUGGAGGUUUUUAAUGAUGUCACUCAUGUUAUCUCAGUGAAUUCAAUGUUGAAAGCACCACUGUGGGUGAUGGUGUACGACAAAUGGAUAAAGGGAUGCAAGAGUUAUUGAGUAUGGUAUACCAAAGUCAAUCAAUUCUUCUUACGAAAUCAAAGUUGGAGACUUAUCUUGAGGAAAAUAUUUUUAUUCCUACUUCUUCUUCAUCUUUUUGUGUCUUGGAGUGGUGGAAUGAUAAUAGUGUAAAGUUUAAAGUUUUAUAAAAAAUGGUUGUUGAUAUACUAGUUGUACCUGUUUCAAGUGUGGCAUCUGAAUCCACAUUUAGUGCUAGGGGAAGGGUGAUUUAUGAAUAUCGUGCUAGUUUAAAUGAACUAUAUAUUGAAGCUCUUAUUUGUGGUGGGAAUUGACUUCGUAACAAGUAUGGGUUGAAGAAAAAAUAAACGGUAAGAAUCUUAUUUUAUAUUACUACUUGAACUUGUAAAUUUAUAAUGGACUUAGUUAUUUAUUCUCAAUUUUUUCAUUGUAUAGUUAGAUUCUGAACAAGAGGAGAUUAUGUUGAAGCUAUGACUUGUUUCAUUUUAUGUUUGAAUACUAUUACGUUUACAUUGUUGUUAUUAA